CAGUAGCCACGGGAAUACGUAGGUGGCAAGCGUUGUCCGGAAUCAUUGGGCGUAAAGGGAGCGCAGGCGGGCAUGUAAGUCUUUCUUAAAAGUUCGGGGCUCAACCCCGUGAUGGGAAAGAAACUACAUGUCUUGAGUACAGGAGAGGAAAGCGGAAUUCCCAGUGUAGCGGUGAAAUGCGUAGAUAUUGGGAGGAACACCAGUGGCGAAGGCGGCUUUCUGGACUGCAACUGACGCUGAGGCUCGAAAGCCAGGGGAGCGAACGGGAUUAGAUACCCGAGUAGUCCCUGUCUCUUAUACA
rnacentral:rRNA from 1 species